rnacentral:rRNA from 1 species
AUUGAACGCUGGCGGCAGGCUUAACACAUGCAAGUCGAGCGAGCGGCGGACGGGUGAGUAAUGUCUGGGAAACUGCCUGAUGGAGGGGGCUAACUACUGGAAACGGUAGCUAAUACCGCAUACCAUCAGAUGUUCCCAGAUGGGAUUAGCUAGUAGGUGGGGUAAUGGCUCACCUAGGCGACGAUCCCUAGCUGGUCUGAGAGGAUGACCAGCCAAACUGGAAAUGGGACACGUUCCAGACGCCUACGGCAGUCAGCAGUGGGGAAUAUUGCGCAAUGGGCGCAAGCCUGAUCCAGCCAUGCCGCGUGUGUGAAGAAGGUCUUCGGAUUGUAAAGCACUUUAAGUGGGGGUGCGUUAGCAACAGAAUAAGCACCGGCUAACUUCGUGCCAGCAGCCGCGGUAAUAC